GUCCAACUGACAAGUCCCAAAUAGGACGAAACACGCGUCCUGGAU
rnacentral:hammerhead_ribozyme from 1 species